UACUGUGACAUGGCAGCUGUGCCAUGGUUGCCAUGAACGGACUGGCAGCCAUGUGACUCUGA
ensembl:miRNA